rnacentral:rRNA from 1 species
UACAGAGGGUGCGAGCGUUAAUCGGAAUUACUGGGCGUAAAGCGUGCGUAGACGGUUAUCUAAGUCAGAUGUGAAAGCCCCGGGCUCAACCUGGGAAUUGCAUUUGAGACUGAAUAGCUAGGGUACGGUAGAGGGAAGUGGAAUUUCCGGUGUAGCGGUGAAAUGCGUAGAUAUCGGAAGGAACAUCAGUGGCGAAAGCGACUUCCUGGACCAGUACCGACGUUCAGGCACGAAAGCGUGGGGAGCAAACAGG